UCGAGUAGGUACAUACAUUGUACAACAAAAUUGCAUUAGUGUUUCUUGAUUAAAUAUUGCGAAAGGUCCGAUUUCUUUCAUUGUGAGUAACCCGAGCAAGGGUACCUAAGUGGCCUCAAGAAUACACUGCGAUUAACGUAAUUAUUAUCCCACGUUAUGAUUUAUCAAUUAUCAUUGUUCAAAUGAAUUUCACGCAACAGUUUCCUAUUGAAAUCUAGUUAGGUAAUUUUCAAAAGUUGGCAAAUCAGAAAUCUAUACAAUGUUUAUGGAAUAAUUGAUACCUAUAAAAGUACGAUGAACGCUUUGUAAGAAUUUCCAUACUGUUUUUGCAUAUAGGUAUGUACAAUCAGACGUGUUGCAUUUAAGUUUAAACUCGAGUUUAGUAAGUUUAGGUACUUCGAAAUAAUUUUCGGUCAAACUUGGAAGAAAUUUUACGUGGUAUUUCAAAUUCAAUUUAAACGAGAUUCACAGAUUGAUAGCAGAGCAAACGUGAAGUGGGUAACAAUGAUUACGUUACCAAGUUUCUCUUCGUCAUUGGCUGUUCUCCUGAUAUGCAGCUUCAUUCCGUUCACCGUGCCAUUAACAUUUCAGUACGAUUACACAUUGACCGGUCCAAUUGAAAAUGUACUUUUUUUUACCUGAAAACGUCAAUUUUUUCGUUCAAGAAGACGCUGGAACAAUAUGUUACAUCUCUGUCGACGAUAAUGUUAUAUCCACGGGCUUUGGUACCCGGCGUAAAUAUCAUAAGUGUGAAGACAAGAAUUUAUGUCUAUUUUCUGAUAACGCUUUCAUACAAGAGCACAAAGUUGAUGUUUUUGCCGUCUAUAACAAUGGUACCAACAAAGUAACCGGAAUACAGUAUUCUGGCAGAAACGUACAGGAAUAGAGGAUCAGAAAGACCGGGACUGUUAAACCAUUUGCAAAUAAAUAAUAUAACUUGCGAAUACAGCAGGUUGAUUUUUUGUCCUAUGCUAGCUUUUAAUUAGGUAUUUAUGAAUUAUUGAAAAUUAAAGUCAAUAAAAAAUAUUCGUUGAUGCCUCAAAAAA